rnacentral:rRNA from 1 species
AGUUUGAUCCUGGCUCAGAACGAACGCUGGCGGCGUGGAUAAGACAUGCAAGUGGGACGCUGAUUAGCAGGUAGCAAUAUUUGCUGGUUGGAGUCGCGUAAGGGUGCGUAACACGUGGGUAAUUUGCCGCGAAGCUCGGAAUAACUUGCCGAAAGGCAUGCUAAUACCGAAUGUGACUUGUGCUGGGCAUCCAGUAUCAGUCAAAGCCGGGGACCGUAAGGCCUGGCACUUCGCGAUAAGCCCGCGGCCUAUCAGCUAGUUGGUGAGGUAACGGCUCACCAAGGCUUAGACGGGUAGCUGGUCUUAGAGGACGACCAGCCACACUGGAACUGAGACACGGUCCAGACACCUACGGGUGGCAGCAGUCGAGAAUUUUUCACAAUGGGCGAAAGCCUGAUGGAGCGACGCCGCGUGGGGGAUGAAUGGCUUCGGCCCGUAAACCCCUGUCAUUCGGGAUCAAAUCUGGCAACCUAACACGUUGCCAGUUGAUAGUACUGAAAGAGGAAGGGACGGCUAACUCUGUGCCAGCAGCCGCGGUAAUACAGAGGUCCCAAGCGUUGUUCGGAUUUACUGGGCGUAAAGGGAGCGUAGGUGGCGGGCAAAGUCUAAUGUGAAAGCUCUGAGCUUAACUCAGAAAUGGCAUUGGAUACUGGCUUGCUUGAGGAUUGGAGGGGAGACUGGAAUUCUCGGUGUAGCAGUGAAAUGCGUAGAUAUCGAGAGGAACACCAGUGGCGAAGGCGAGUCUCUGGACAAUUCCUGACACUGAUGCUCGAAAGCUAGGGGAGCAAACGGGAUUAGAUACCCCGGGUAGUCCUAGCUGUAAACGGUGCGCGCUUGCCGUAGGUGGAUUCGACCCCGCCUGUGGC